AUAAUAGUUCAGGAAAUUGAAAUUUAUUGGUUUUUCAGGUCUCUCAGUUGGAAGAGAAGUUACAAGAGAAACGAUGUCUUGUAGUGGAUUUACAAAAGCAAUCUAGGAAACUGGAGGAUGCAUUAAUUAAUGCAAAGAAACAUUCUUCAUAUCGUCAGAUGCAAUUGACCAAGCUGCACAAAUGCUUUAUGCAAGUGAAAGAGUACACAGAGCGACUAAAAACCUGUGAAAAAGAACUUCAGACUAUGGUUGAUACGGCAAUGUUAGAGAGUGAUGGUGAUGGCGAAGCUGUUGGCUUAAAGGAUGCACAAAUCAUGAGUGGAUAUGUAUGAUCUCUGGUUGAUGCGGCAUUGAGUUGUCGCUGUGCUGAGUAGAUUGUAUUUAACUAUCAUGCUUAAGGUCGUAGCAGUGAUAAGUAAAAAGCAUAAAAUGCAUCAUCCUUUAGUUAUAAAUCUGACGAAAUUUUUGUUCACAAUUUUAUGUCAAGUUCAAUGGACAAAAACUUGUACUUGUUGCUGUGAUCUGCGAUGUAUAAAUUUUGAACAAGCUGUAUUUUUAUUCUGGGGCA